GAUGAACGCUGGCGGCGUGCCUAAUACAUGCAAGUCGAGCGAACAGACGAGGGGCUUGCUCCUCUGACGUUAGCGGCGGACGGGUGAGUAACACGUGGAUAACCUACCUAUAAGACUGGGAGAACUUCGGGAAACCGGAGCUAAUACCGGAUAAUAUAUUGAACCGCAUGGUUCAAUAGUGAAAGACGGUUUUGCUGUCACUUAGAGAUGGAUCCGCGCCGCAUUAGCUAGUUGGUAAGGUAACGGCUUACCAAGGCAACGAUGCGUAGCCGACCUGAGAGGGUGAUCGGCCACACUGGAACUGAGACACGGUCCAGACUCCUACGGGAGGCAGCAGUAGGGAAUCUUCCGCAAUGGGCGAAAGCCUGACGGAGCAACGCCGCGUGAGUGAUGAAGGUCUUCGGAUCGUAAAACUCUGUUAUUAGGGAAGAACAAAUGUGUAAGUAACUAUGCACGUCUUGACGGUACCUAAUCAGAAAGCCACGGCUAACUACGUG
rnacentral:rRNA from 1 species